rnacentral:rRNA from 1 species
GACGAACGCUGGCGGCGUGCUUAACACAUGCAAGUCGAACGGAAAGGCCCUGCUUUUGUGGGGUGCUCGAGUGGCGAACGGGUGAGUAACACGUGAGUAACCUGCCCUUGACUUUGUGAUAACUUCAGGAAACUGGGGCUAAUACCGGAUAGGAGCUCCUGCUGCAUGGGGGGGGUUGGAAAGUUUCGGCGGUUGGGGAUGGACUCGCGGCUUAUCAGCUUGUUGGUGGGGUAGUGGAUUACCAAGGCUUUGAAGGGUAGCCGGCCUGAGAGGGUGGACGGCGACAAUGGGACUGAGGGACGCCCCAGAAUCCUAUGGGAGGCAGUAGUGGAGAAUAUUGCACAGUGAGCGGAAGCCUGAUGCAGAAACGCCGCGUGCGGGAUGACGUCCUUCGGGUUGUAAACCGCUUUCGCCUGUGACGAAGCGUGAGUGACGGUAAUUGGUAAAGAAGCACCGGCUAACUACGUG